rnacentral:rRNA from 1 species
GACGUAGGGGGCCAGCGUUGCUCGGAAUUACUGGGCGUAAAGAGUGUGUAGGCGGUGCUCUAAGUUCGGUGUGAAAUCUCCCGGCUUAACUGGGAGGGUGCGCCGGAAACUGGAGUGCUCGAGCGUGGGAGAGGAAAGCGGAAUUCCUGGUGUAGCGGUGAAAUGCGUAGAUAUCAGGAGGAACACCUGCGGUGUAGACGGCUUUCUGGACCAUUGCUGAUGCUGAGACACGAAAGCGUGGGUAGCAAACAGG